ensembl:lncRNA
GGACUUUAUGAAUAACAGUAUGCAAACAAUCUUCACACUGGAUGAAAAAUGGACAAUUUUCUCAAAAAUUGAACUUAUCUGGAGACCAGCCCGGUGGUCCAGCGGUUAAGUUCACAUGUUCUGCUUCAGUAGCCCAGGGUUUGCCCAUUCGGAUCCCAGGUGUGGACCUAUGCACUGCCUGUCAAGCCAUGCUGUGGCAGGCAUCCCAGAUCUGGUGGCACAGUGGUUAAGUUGGCACAUUCCGCUUGGGGAGUCCCGGGUUUGCCGGUUUGGAUCCUGGGCACAGACCUACACACCACGUAUCAAGUCAUGCUCUGGCAGGCAUCUCACAUAUAAAGAAGAGGUUGAUGGGCACAGUUGUUAGCUCAGGGCCAGUAUUCUUCAGCAAAAAGAGGAGGAUUGGCAGCAGAUGUUAGCUCAGGGCUAAUCUUCCUCAAAAAGAAAAAGAAGAAGAAGUAAUGGAAUAGAAUUGAUUAUAACACAAGCAGCUUAGUAUUAUCAUAGUUUAAAAGAAAAAGAGGACCAGCCCUGUGGCCGAGUAGUUAAGUUUGUGCGCUCUGCUUCGGCGGCCCAGGGUUUCACUGGUUUGGAUCCUGGGCGCGGACGUGGCACUGCUCAUCAGGCCAUGUUGAGGCAGCGUCCCACAUGCCACAACUAGAAGGACCCACAACUAAAAGUAUACAACUAUCUACUGGGGGGAUUUGGGCAUAAAAAGCAGGAAAAAGAAAAAAAAAAGCUUGGCAAGUUGUUAGCUCAGGUGCCAAUCUUUAAAAAAAUAAAAUAAAAUAAUAAAAAAAAAAAAGAUACCAUUAACAAUACUAUUGAGAAACAUCAAUACCUAGGACUAAAUCUUAACAAAAGAUGUGUAAGUUAUCCACACUGAAAACUGAAAACCACUAUGAACAGAAAUUAAAGAGACUCAAAUAAAUAGAAGUGUAUACUGUGUUCAUGGAUUUGAAAACUUAACACUGUAAAGACAUCAAUUUUCCCCAAAUUACUCUACAGAUCUACAGUCCCAGUAAAAAAUUCUGGCAGGUUUUUUUUUUCUUGAAAUUGAUAAGCUGAUUGUAAAAUUAAUAUAGAAAUGCGAAAGGUCAAGAAGAGCCAGAACAAUCUUGAAAAACAGUAAAACUAGGAGAUUUACACUACAGGUGAAAAGAUCUAUUAUAAAGCUAUAAUAGUUAAAAUAGUGUAGUACUGGUAGAAAAAUAAGACAACUUGUCACCUGACUUAUGACAACAGCAAACUGUAUUACAAUGAGAAAUGGAUGGUCUUUUUAAUAAAUUGUGCUGGGUCCAGCCCCGUGGCCAAGUGAUUAAGUUCACACGCUCCACUUUGGCAGCCCAGGGUUUCGCUGGUUUGGAUCCUGGGCGCGGACAUGGCACUGCUCAUUAGGCCAUGCUGAAGCAGCGUCCCACAUGCCAGAACUAGAAGGACCCACAACUAAAAUAUACAAUUAUGUACUGGGGGUAUUUGGGGAAGAAAAGCGGAAGAAAAAAUUGUGCUGAGUUGAUUGGAUAUCCACAUGGAAAAUAAUGUAUCUUGACUCCCUAUCUCAUAUAAUAUAUUAAAAAGUUCCAGGGGCUGACCCAGUGGCGUGAUGGUUAAAUUCACGCACUCCGCUUCAGCAGCCCAGUGUUCGUGGGUUCAGAUCCUGGGUGCAGAUCUACACACUGCUCAUCAAGCCACACUGUGGCUGCAUCCCACAUACAAAAUAGAGGAAGGCUGGCACAGAUGUUAGCUCAAGGUCAACCUUCCUCACCAAAAGAAAAAACAAAACAAAUUCCAGAUGGACUGCAGAUCUACAUAAUAAAAGUAAAAGAAAAAUAUUUUAAGGAAUAGCUAAGAAAAAUUUUUCAGGAUAUUGGAAUAAUCAAAGUUUAUUAAAUAGGAUACAUAAAGCACUAUCCAGAAAAGAAGAAAAUUGAUACAUUGACUAUAUUAAAAUUAAGAAUUUCUGAUCAUUAAAUGACACCAUUAAGAGAAUAAAAAGUCAAUCAAUAGAGUGGGAGAAGAUAUAAAUAAAACAUUUAUCUGGUAAUGGUCUCAUACCCAGAAUAUAAAAAGAACUCCUACAAAUCAAUAAUCAAAAGAUAGAAAAUCCAACAGAAAAGCAAGCGAAAGAAGACUUGGACAUACACUUCACAAAAAAGAGAUCUGAAUGCUCAAAGUGGCCAGCUGCACUCAUCAUCAGAGAAAUGCAAGUUACAACCCCAAUCUGAGCUACCACACACCUUCCAAAACGGCUAAUUUUUUUUUUAAUUGCAAAAACAUAAUGGUAAAGAUGUGGAACAACUAGGACUCUAAUAAACUGUUGAUGAAAAUGAAAACUGAUACAACCACUUGGAAAACUAAUAAAGAUGAACAUAUGCAAACCAUUAUGACCUAGCAAUCCCACUCAUUGGUAUAUACCCAACAGAAAUAUAUUCACCAUAAGACACAUAUUAGAAUGUUCACAGUAGCAUUAUUUUGUAAUAGCCGGAAAUUGGAAAUCCAAAUGUCCAACGAUUGAACUACUGAUGGUCCCAAAUGCCACCAAUAGACAAACUAACUGUUGUAUUUCUGUACAAUAAGAAGGAAUGGAUUUCUGAUACAUACAACAACACAAAUGUGUCUCAAAAAUAUGUUGAGCAGAGAAUCCAGACACAAAAAAUACACACAUAUGAUUCCAUUUAUAUAAAGUACAAAAAUAGGCAAUAAAAUGAAUGAUUCUCAUAAAUAUAAUGUAGAGCAAAAGAAGCUAGACACAAAAGAGUAUAUACAUACAAUUUCAUUUCUAUAAAGUAUAAAGAAGGCAAAACUAAUCUAUGCUAUUAGAAGUUAGAAUAACGAUCACCCUUUGAGAAAUGACAGUUAUUAGAAAGGAGCACAAAGGUGGCUUUUGGGGUAUUAGUAUGGAUCUGUUUCUUGAUCAUAUGGACGUUUAUUGAACUGUACACUUAUGUGCAUACUAAUGUAUGUAUAUGUAUGUAUAUUAUACUCCACUAAAAAUGUGAACUUUUGGGGGGUGUGGUGAGGAAGAUUGGCCCUUAGCUAACAUCUAUUGCCAAUCUUCCUCUUUUCGCUUGAGGAAGAUUGUCCCUGAGGCAACAUCUGCGCCCAUCUUUCUCUAUUUUGCAUGUGGGACACUGCCACAGCAUGGCUUGAUGCACAGAGUGUAGGUCUGUGCCCAGGAUUCAAA